rnacentral:sRNA from 1 species
AUAAAACUUGUGUGCUUUUUGAGUUCAAGGUUGCCUUUCCCUGCAUGGAUGAGCAAUCCCACGUAGUGUAUUUAAAACCUUAUACUCUCAUGCUAUUGCAGGGGUCACUUUGUCAAUCUGUGCUCUGUGGGUGGCGCUCCUGAGGUAGGGCCACUAUGGGGACUUACAACAUUUUGGUGUACUUGCCAGGAACUGCGCUCCCCCCAGACUACAACUGUCGAGGAGAUUGGAGGCAAGAUUGGCAUAUGCCAUAAUCCCAAGCCUGGUGAUUGAAACAGAAGGGUUGGCAUGAGUGCGAAUCCAACCUCGGAAAUGACCCAGAAGCUGAAAAGAAC